rnacentral:rRNA from 1 species
ACGGGUGAGUAAUGCGUAGGAAUCUGCCUCAUGGUGGGGGAUAACCUAGGGAAACUUAGGGUAAUACCGCAUAAGCCUUACGGGGUAAAGCAGGGGACCUUCGGGCCUUGCGCUAUGAGAUGAGCCUACGUCGGAUUAGCUUGUUGGUGAGGUAAAGGCUCACCAAGGCGAUGAUCCGUAGCUGGUCUGAGAGGACGACCAGCCACACUGGGACUGAGACACGGCCCAGACUCCUACGGGAGGCAGCAGUGGGGAAUAUUGGACAAUGGGCGCAAGCCUGAUCCAGCAAUGCCGCGUGUGUGAAGAAGGCCUGCGGGUUGUAAAGCACUUUCGGUGGGGAGGAGAGGCCUUUGGUUAAUACCCAAGGGAAGAGACGUUACCCACAGAAGAAGCACCGGCUAACUCUGUGCCAGCAGCCGCGGUAAUACAGAGGGUGCAAGCGUUAAUCGGAAUUACUGGGCGUAAAGGGUGCGUAGGUGGUUUGAUAAGUUAGGUGUGAAAGUCCUGGGCUUAACCUGGGGACUGCGCUUAAUACUGUUAAGCUAGAGUACUGUAGAGGGAGGUGGAAUUUCCGGUGUAGCGGU